UACAGAGGUCUCAAGCGUUGUUCGGAUUCAUUGGGCGUAAAGGGUGCGUAGGUGGCGGGGUUAGUCAGGUGUGAAAUCUCGGAGCUCAACUCCGAAACUGCACUUGAUACUGCCUUGCUAGAGUACUGGAGAGGAGAUUGGAAUUUACGGUGUAGCAGUGAAAUGCGUAGAUAUCUGCAGGAACACCCGUGGCGAAAGCGGCGCGCUGGACCACUACUGACGCUGAGGAACGAAAGCUAGGGGAGCAAACAGG
rnacentral:rRNA from 1 species